GGUGGGGUGAUGGCCUACCAAGGCGACGACGGGUAGCCGGCCUGAGAGGGUGACCGGCCACACUGGGACUGAGACACGGCCCAGACUCCUACGGGAGGCAGCAGUGGGGAAUCUUGCGCAAUGGGCGGAAGCCUGACGCAGCAACGCCGCGUGGGGGAUGACGGCCUUCGGGUUGUAAACCUCUUUCGGCAUCGACGAAGGCUCUCGUGUUCGGGGGUUGACGGUAGGUGCAGAAGAAGCACCGGCUAACUACGUGCCAGCAGCCGCGGUAAUACGUAGGGUGCGUGCGUUGUCCGGAUUUAUUGGGCGUAAAGAGCUCGUAGGCGGUUUGUCGCGUCGGCCGUGAAAACCUGCAGCUUAACUGUGGGCGUGCGGUCGAUACGGGCAGACUUGAGUUCGGUAGGGGAGACUGGAAUUCCUGGUGUAGCGGUGAAAUGCGCAGAUAUCAGGAGGAACACCGGUGGCGAAGGCGGGUCUCUGGGCCGAUACUGACGCUGAGGAGCGAAAGCGUGGGGAGCGAACAGGAUUAGAUACCCUGGUAGUCCACGCCGUAAACGUUGGGCGCUAGGUGUGGGGACUGGUUCCACGGUUUCCGUGCCGUAGCUAACGCAUUAAGCGCCCCGC
rnacentral:rRNA from 1 species